CUUUAUAAUGAAUACCACCUGGAAGCCUGGUUCAUACCUCCUCACUUAAAGACCGGAUUACAGCAUCGUGCGCAUUUUUGUUUUUGAUUCAAGCACAUAUAUUGCUUGAGGAUGUAACAUACCUUGUACCCAUGUCAUCAUGCAGUCCAAGAGGCUUAAGACUAAAAAGGGUCACUACAGUGGAUCAUUGGCCUCCAUCUCACCCUAUGCCUAGCAUUCUCCUCUGACUCACCAGCCCCUUGUAUGUCUUCCUUCACAACAUCCAUGAACCUCCUCUGUGGUCUUCCUCUUUUUCUCCUGCUUGUCAGUUCUACAUUCAGAAUCUGUUGUCCAGUAUAUCCACUUUCCCUCCUCUGCAUAUGUUCAGAACAUUUCAACUGUUUCUCUCUAACUUUGUCUCCAAACUGCUCAUAUCCGUCUGAUAUACUUUGUUUGUCCAUCCUUGUCACUCCCAAUAAAAAU